rnacentral:rRNA from 1 species
CUACGUAGGGGGCGAGCGUUGUCCGGAAUGAUUGGGCGUAAAGGGCGCGUAGGCGGCCGCUUAAGUCUGGAGUGAAAGUCCUGUUUUCCAGAUGGGAAUUGCUUUGGAUACUGGGGGGCUUGAGUGCAGGAGAGGUUAUCGGAAUUCCCGGUGUAGCGGUGAAAUGCGUAGAGAUCGGGAGGAACACCAGUGGCGAAGGCGGGUAACUGGACUGCAACUGACGCUGAGGCGCGAAAGUGUGGGGAGCAAACAGGAUUAGAUACCCUGGUAGUCCACACUGUAAACGAUGAAUGCUAGGUGUAAGAGGUAUCGACCCCUUUUGUGCCGGAGUCAACACAAUAAGCAUUCCGCCUGGGGAGUACGGCCGCAAGGUUGAAACUCAAAUGAAUUGACGGGG